rnacentral:rRNA from 1 species
AGAGUUUGAUCAUGGCUCAGGAUGAACGGCUAGCGGCAGGCUUAAUACAUGCAAGUCGAGCGGUACCAGGUGUAGCAAUACAUGCUGACGAGCGGCAGACGGGUGAGGAACACGUACGCAACUUUCCUCAAACCGGGGCACAACCUUGAGAAAUCAGGGCUAAUUCCCCAUAACAUUGCGAGAGGGCAUCUGAUUGCAAUUAAAAAUUCGUCGGUUUGAGAUGGGCGUGCGUUCGAUUAGCUAGUUGGUAAGGUAACGGCCUACCAAGGCAACGAUCGAUAGCUGGUGUGAGAGCACGACCAGCCACACGGGCACUGAGACACGGGCCCGACUCCUACGGGAGGCAGCAGUAAGGAAUAUUGGUCAAUGGACGACAGUCUGAACCAGCCAUGCCGCGUGAGGGAU